CCUACGGGGGGCAGCAGUGGGGGAUAUUGCACAAUGGGGGGAACCCUGAUGCAGCGACGCCGCGUGGGUGAAGAAGCGCCUCGGCGCGUAAAGCCCUGUCAGCAGGGAAGAAAAUGACGGUACCUGAAGAAGAAGCCCCGGCUAACUACGUGCCAGCAGCCGCGGUAAUACGUAGGGGGCACGCGUUAUCCGGAUUUACUGGGUGGAAAGGGGGCGCAGACGGCGAUGCAAGCCAGGAGUGAAAGCCCGGGGCCCAACCCCGGGACUGCUCUUGGAACUGCGUGGCUGGAGUGCAGGAGGGGCAGGCGGAAUUCCUGGUGUAGCGGUGAAAUGCGUAGAUAUCAGGAGGAACACCGGUGGCGAAGGCGGCCUGCUGGACUGCAACUGACGUUGAGGCCCGAAAGCGUGGGGAGCAAACAGGAUUAGAUACCCUAGUAGUC
rnacentral:rRNA from 1 species